AGGUCCAGCAACUGUCUGAGUUGGUGUAUAUUCUGUCAGAGACUGCGUGAACAAUGUUAUGAACAGAAUGAUGUCAAAUUGUCUUAUGGCAAAGUUCAAUAUGAGGGGUGGUGGACAUCUGGAAAAGAAGUCUUUUAAAGGCACACCUUUGUAUUAUGUUAUUCAAGAUGCUGUGAAGAGGUGGAGCCCAAAUGCCAGAGACUCAGAAAUAGAUGCAGCUAUGGCAGACCACCUCAAGCACGGUCCAGGAUGAGCUGGGGGUUGUGAAUACACUAAAUAAGCCAAACAGCUGUAAUGUGUAAAAGAGAGAGUUCACCCAAAAAUGAAAAUUGUUAUAAUUUUCUUACCCACAUGUUUCAAACCUGUAUACAUUUCUAUUUUCUGCUGAACACAAAGAUUGAAAAAUGUUUGUAACCAAGCUAACUGUCAAUCAUUUUGAUUUACAACUGUAGUAAUGGGUUGUGAGAUCUGCUUUCAGCUUUCUAUUCUUUCAAAUAUCUUUGUGUUCAGUAGAACAUAGAAAAGUAUACAGGUUUGAAACAUAAGAGAGAGUAAAUGACUAAAUAAUCAUUUUUGGGUGAACUAUCCUUUUAUAUAGUAAAGUAUUUUGAAAUUGUUAUUAUAGUUAAACAGUUUAAAAAAAAUAAAAAGUGCUAAAUCAGAACAUGCUUCUUUUUUUUGCUUAUGUCCACAAAUAAUGUGUUCUUUAAUGUGUUUGAAAUACACGUGAUUACAACGUUAUAAAGACGUUCAGGUUUGACUGGACUA